AACGCACAUUGCGCCCACCGGUAUUCCGGAGGGCAUGCCUGUUCGAGCGUCACAAAAAACCCCUCGGGCUCAUUGUCCGGUGUUGGAAGCCCGCGUAAUUCUUUAGGCGGCUUCUGAAAAUUAGUGGCGUUGGCAUCCGCUAGUCUUUGCGAGGUAAAUCAAAUCCGCUCAUGACUGCUGGUGCUGACUGCCUGGUUCUUUAGUGGAAAUGACCUCGGAUCAGGUAGGGCUACCCGCUGAACUUAA
rnacentral:misc_RNA from 1 species